rnacentral:rRNA from 1 species
AAACGGCGUCUAAUACUGGAUAUGUGACGUGACCGCAUGGUCUGCGUUUGGAAAGAUUUUUCGGUUGGGGAUGGGCUCGCGGCCUAUCAGCUUGUUGGUGAGGUAAUGGCUCACCAAGGCGUCGACGGGUAGCCGGCCUGAGAGGGUGACCGGCCACACUGGGACUGAGACACGGCCCAGACUCCUACGGGAGGCAGCAGUGGGGAAUAUUGCACAAUGGGCGCAAGCCUGAUGCAGCAACGCCGCGUGAGGGAUGACGGCCUUCGGGUUGUAAACCUCUUUUAGCAGGGAAGAAGCGAAAGUGACGGUACCUGCAGAAAAAGCGCCGGCUAACUACGUGCCAGCAGCCGCGGUAAUACGUAGGGCGCAAGCGUUAUCCGGAAUUAUUGGGCGUAAAGAGCUCGUAGGCGGUUUGUCGCGUCUGCUGUGAAAUCCCGAGGCUCAACCUCGGGCCUGCAGUGGGUACGGGCAGACUAGAGUGCGGUAGGGGAGAUUGGAAUUCCUGGUGUAGCGGUGGAAUGCGCAGAUAUCAGGAGGAACACCGAUGGCGAAGGCAGAUCUCUGGGCCGUAACUGACGCUGAGGAGCGAAAGGGUGGGGAGCAAACAGGCUUAGAUACCCUGGUAGUCCACCCCGUAAACGUUGGGAACUAGUUGUGGGGUCCAUUCCACGGAUUCCGUGACGCAGCUAACGCAUUAAGUUCCCCGCCUGGGGAGUACGGCCGCAAGGCUAAAACUCAAAGGAAUUGACGGGGACCCGCACAAGCGGCGGAGCAUGCGGAUUAAUUCGAUGCAACGCGAAGAACCUUACCAAGGCUUGACAUAUACGAGAACGGGCCAGAAAUGGUCAACUCUUUGGACACUCGUAAACAGGUGGUGCAUGGUUGUCGUCAGCUCGUGUCGUGAGAUGUUGGGUUAAGUCCCGCAACGAGCGCAACCCUCGUUCUAUGUUGCCAGCACGUAAUGGUGGGAACUCAUGGGAUACUGCCGGGGUCAACUCGGAGGAAGGUGGGGAUGACGUCAAAUCAUCAUGCCCCUUAUGUCUUGGGCUUCACGCAUGCUACAAUGGCCGGUACAAAGGGCUGCAAUACCGCGAGGUGGAGCGAAUCCCAAAAAGCCGGUCCCAGUUCGGAUUGAGGUCUGCAACUCG